UGUAGGAGUGAGCCUGCUCGCGAUAGCGGUGUAUCAGUCAACAUCAUCACCGACUGAUACACCGCUAUCGCGAGCAGGCUCACUCCUACA
rnacentral:antisense_RNA from 1 species